rnacentral:lncRNA from 1 species
CAAGCUAUGCCAAGUUUUGCUUAAGUCCACAUGUUUCUCUUAAAGAAGAAAGGCAUGGGGUUGGGUGUUAAGAGCUUGAGUGGCAUGGACUAGAGGGGCCAUGAUGAGUAAUAUGGUCAGGAUAUGCAUUGGCUGCAUGGAAUACAAUGAGUAGGUAUGUAUUAGGGGCUCUACAACAAGCAAUAAGUUGGAAAUAGGUUCAGUUGUUGGAGGUUAUUGCAAUCAAUAAGCAGGCAACUGGCCAAGGUAGCGGAUAGGAAAGUCAACCUAGGCUUUAGUUAGCUAUAGUAAUAAUCUUCGAAGUACUUAGUCAAAGGAAAGAGAGGAUGAAAACCACUUGUGAAGAGGAAGAUAAUAGGCGAGUCUUUUGAAACUUUUGCAUGUGUUUCUUGCAUAGAAUGUCAAGAGUUAUCCCUUGCCUUGAGUUAUUCCCAUGAUGACCUAAAAGGCUUAAUUGCAACAAAGUAACAUUGCCAAAAAUGUUGAAUUUGAUAGAUCAAUCCUUUCUAUGUAAAUUGAGCUUCAUGCUGAGGUUGGUUUAAGCAGGGGAUUCAAAUAGGCUAAAUCAGACAUAGUUCAGGGUCAACCCGAUGCAACCUGGUUGCAAAGCUACCUUGAUCCAGCUAAAGUCAUCUGUUUACAUCCCUAGUUGUUGGUUUCACUUAUCUGGCCCAACAUUAGAUUAAUCAUAGAAGUGUGGACCUAGAAAACCUAAAUUUUCAAUGUGUAAACCAUACACAAAUCAGAUAUGACCAAAGGUAUCUAUAUGCUUUAGUUUUUCCGAAAUCACAAUGAUGGCAUUUUUGGACACUAGCCACUAGUGAUGCAGCUAAAGGUCCCCAUAUCUGCCAGUUGUCCAAAACAGGGAUUCGGAUUCCUCUAAUGAGGUCUCAUCUAAGUAACCCAUCUAAUGGAAAACCGUCCAAGCUUAAAAAGAUGAGAUGGUUAUAUCGAAAGAUGCGUUUAAACAAGAUGGAAUGCCAAUUCCUUGAAAUUCAUGUUACAAUCUACUGGUGGAAUAGGAAAUACCGUGGAAGACCACCAGAUUGAGGAGCAUUUCUUCAGAUAAGAAUAUGAGAUGGCAUUUAACUCAGAUGUUUAGUGAGCUUAAAUUUUGAAAUAUUCCAGCUGCAUUAAGAAAAACGGUUGAGCAUAAAUAAGUUUGAUAAGAAUCUUCACCAGCAUCAUCAUAUUUAAUAUUUUUAGAUGGGACUACUUGUAUGAUAUUCUAUGUCAGCUUUUCAAAGAAGCUGCAAUGACCCAAAACGGA